UGCGAGCGAACAGGGAUGAGCCCAGCACCGAAUCCCGCGGCCGAUAUCGGACGCCCGGAAAAUGUGGUGUUAGGGAGGAUCCGUUUAUCCCGAGGUCGUGCGGUGCGUCCAAGUCCUUCUUGAACGGGGCCACAGCCCAUAGAGGGUGCCAGGCCCGUAGCGACCGCUGCCGAUCGCGGGAGGGUCUCUCCUCAGAGUCGGGUUGCUUGAGAGUGCAGCCCUAAGUGGGUGGUAAACUCCAUCUAAGGCUAAAUAUGACCACGAGACCGAUAGCGAACAAGUACCGUGAGGGAAAGUUGAAAAGCACUUUGAAGAGAGAGUUCAAGAGUACGUGAAACCGUUCAGGGGUAAACCUGAGAAGCCCGAAAGGUCGAAUGGGGAAAUUCAUUCGCGUUUCGGCCGUCGGCGUUGGAUGGUCGCGUGACGGAUGGCGUACGCGUCGUCCGCGCCUUCCGUUCUUCGAACCGGCGUCGAACGCGUGCACUUUUCCCCUAGUAGGACGUCGCGAUCCGUUGGGUGUCGGUCUACGGCUCGCGGUGGAGCCCGUGCGGUCGUUUCGGCGUAUCGCACGGACCCGCGGUGUUCCGGCCGACUCGCUCGACGGUAUACAGAUGGCGCGGGGCCGCUACACAGUUAGCGUUCGGC
rnacentral:rRNA from 1 species